rnacentral:rRNA from 1 species
CAGUCGCCGCGGGAAUACGUAGGGUGCGAGCGUUAAUCGGAAUUAUUGGGCGUAAAGGGCUCGCAGGCGGUUUCUUAAGUCUGAUGUGAAAGCCCCCGGCUCAACCGGGGAGGGUCAUUGGAAACUGGGAAACUUGAGUGCAGAAGAGGAGAGUGGAAUUCCACGUGUAGCGGUGAAAUGCGUAGAGAUGUGGAGGAACACCAGUGGCGAAGGCGACUCUCUGGUCUGUAACUGACGCUGAGGAGCGAAAGCGUGGGGAGCGAACAGGAUUAGAUACCCCUGUAGUCCCUGUCUCUUAUAC